rnacentral:lncRNA from 1 species
UUUAUAGUACUUAAUUUAAUUUUUUUUUGUACUGACCAAUGCAAGGCUCUAUAAAAAAAGAAAAAGGAAAAAAAAAAAAAAGAAAAGAAAGAAAUGCAAAAGAGUAAUCAUUGCUGUUUGUCCCUCUCGCCAUCUGUGGUUUCAUUUGAAUGUGGCAGAACAAAGGCCCCUUGGUCCUCUUUGGUGUCUGAAAUGUUUGGUAAUUUCUCUUUUGUAUCAGUGAGGUCUUUGUGAUCUGCUCCUGAUCUCUCUUGGAGCAGGGCGCACUGAGAUACCAUGAUGGUGCUUGCUUGCUUCAGAGUCCUUUGUUGGCUGUGGGAAUUGGCCUGAGAAUUUGGUGGGUGCUAAGCGCAUGGCUUUGAAUCUGUUCUUCUCUAACCCCAGUGAAGACCUGUGGAAGAUUGCGAGUCCUUAGCUUGGGGUGGGUAUCCCUUGGACAUUUUAGAAAUAGGUUUAUGACACGUCCUCCUCCAUUCUUCCUCAACUGCAGAGGCAGUUGCUUGAUGCCUCUGGAGGGAGCAGGUUUUUCAAGAAAUAACCUCAACGUGUCCUUUGCUCCCAAGAGGACUGGGUGUCUAGAAUGGUGUCAUGGAUAUUUGAAACAUGAAAUCCCUUUCACAAUUUAAGACAUUACCUCCUAGCAUUCCAAGGGGAUCCCAGAUUUGAAAGGGCAAGCCUGGCAUAAAUGUGGCAUAGGCUGUCCUCUUGAGCAUUCUAUCCAGGGCCCAGAGAUGGCUAUGUAGAAGACAUGGUUCUAAGCCACUGGUGAUUUUCUUUACUUCAAGUUACUUCUCUUUCUCCUCCACGUGACCUUCAGGGAUGUGGGGACCGACAUUGUAAUGCUGCUCUUUGCUCCUGGCCUCCUGUCCCACUGUCAGCUUACUGGCCCAACCUCAUGCCUAUGUGGAUGAGUACUUUGUCCAGAAAGAAAGAGAUGUUUGGAUUCCAAGUUAAAGCUGCAUUUUUGUAAAAAUAUUGGAGACCCCCCCCCAAUGACCUUCAUGCUGGCCAUUUCCCUGUCCCAGUUUCCUUCCCAAAGCCCUUCAACCACUCCCCACUCUCCCUGCUGCCACCUCCCCAUGCACACCUCUACCCUUUUCCAUCUUUGAUCGCCUGAUGAUAACAGGGUAAAAAGAGAGCCAACCUCAUGUCUGAUGAGCAGGAUGGAUUCCUAGGAAUUUUUUUUAAUUUAUUUUUUAUUUUUAAAUCUUCUUUGAAAUUAGAGAAGAGUGUAUUUAGGGACUUGAAUUUGGGAUAUGCUUCCAAAUGAUCUGUGUCUAUUUGCAUCCAAGGGAAAACAAAUGGGGGAGGGGGAGGGUUGGCUAACUCAAGCAUUCAGAACUGUCCUGCCUGCAGCCUCCACUCCUGCAUCCCAUGGGAAAGCCCAAAGAAAUGGUUUGCCAAUGCAAACCUCAGUGUGAUUAAUUUUCACGGUUCUGAGUGAUUUCCUCUGUGGGAAUCAGUUCAUAAUGUAAAUGUGGGGACUACUUAUAUCUCCUCUUCUGCGUGUGUUACUUCAGAAGGAAAGAGGAAGGGAGCAUGAACAACCCAUUUGACUCCAGAAAUCUGUCUGCCUUCUCUCCCUUUAAACAAACAAACAAACAAAAGACCUCACAUCCGGCUGAAAUCUUGCACCUAGAAUAUUGCCCAGGUGGAACUUAAGAAAGACUUGGCUGAAAUAAAUUCAUGAAAACUUUUCCUCAAUUUUAUUUUAGAAGUGGCAGAAGUUGGGGCAGGAGGAUACCUGGUUCUGAGUGUCUGGGUUGCAUUUCGGGAAACAUGGUGAUGCUUAAUUUGCAACCGGAGGGCCCAGCCUGAGUGUCCAUUGCUGCCUUCCUGAUGGCAUGUGUUUCUCUUUGAGGAUCUUUGGGAGCACUUGAGAUGGACAACAGAAAUAUGUCAAAGGAAGCAAAAUCUGCUCCUAUGAAAUGUGGUGUCUCAUGACUAAUGCCUGAGCUUCAGGGUUUCUUGUUUUUAACACUUAAAUCUCCUCUCUUGGUUCCUCUAACAGAUCCCAGAAAGGGGAUAGCUAAGCUGCAAUUAACUUUCUUAUGAGCAUCUUUCAAUAUAGUACUGUAUUCUUCAGGUGUUCUGCAUUUUCCAGUAAGUCCUCGGGAAACAGGUAUCCACAACAGGAGUGAGAUCAAAGUCGUCACUUAGCAAAUAUCCCAAACAAGAUACUCUUUUUCAAAUAGGGCUCCCUCUCUGUGGUCAUGAGGGAAGGUUGAUGUGUUCUUGGUUGGGGACCGUUUAUACGAUUUUUUUCAACUGUGAGUUUUGGAAUCGUAAUUGCUUUGACCCCAGCUUCUGUCUACUGCCAUACAAAGGACCCCACGUCAGAAUAAUGAGGGUGGUGUGUGUGCACACACCUGCAUGGGUGUGCAUACAUACCUACUGUACCUUCGCAGAAGGAAAACAGGCUACUGAGGUAUAAGAGGGGUAGCCACCAGUGCCUAAUCUCUUUUGGGGGGAUGGAUGCUUAUAAUGCCAGUAUAUAAAAACCACACCACUGGGAGUUAGUUCCACAUACAGGGGAGGGGCAGUGGGUGGGGAGAGGGGACAUUUCAAUCCUAGCCCUUGGGACCAGAGGCAGAAUAAUUUCUGUAAACCGAGGUCCUAAAGAUUUGGGGGCUCAUUAGCCUUUUUUGUUUCCUUUUUGCUUCCCAGCAUGCAUUUGCUCACUCAAGCUCAGACAAUUUGAUUUCUUCCAUCUCACUUCUGCUUCAUCCCAGGGAGGAAAAAUACACCUGUUAGGGCCAAGAUCUCCUUGCUAACACAAAGGCAAACUAAAUGUUUAAUGUUUUUGGAGCCUCCCCUCCCCCCACCUCCCUGUCACAUUCUCUCAGGCCUUCUCUGGUAUUUAUAAUAUAUCACAGAAGUACCCAGUCUUAUAGCCCUCGGUUAUGCCUUUUUUUGACAUUUUAUUUUUUUUAAGCUUUUUAUAUAUAUAUAUAAAUAUAUUACUUUGUCAAGUUUUUUUGCUGUACAAAAGUCUUAAGAUUUAAAACUAUUAUUUGUAUUAUAUGAUGGUGGUAUGUUAAUGUUACAAAAUUAUUAAUGAAGAAAAAAUUUAUUUUUGUUACUGGUCUGUUUCAUAAUUCUUUUUUAAAUUGGUAUAUUGUAAGAUAUCUAUGCAAAAAUGUUAUGUGACGCAUUUUUAUUUAAGAAUGUAAUAUGUGUAAUAAACAGUAGAAUG